rnacentral:rRNA from 1 species
GUCUACAGCCAUAACACCCUAAGUGUGUCCAAUCUUGUCUGAUCUCAGAAGCUAAGCAGGUCCUGCCUGGUUAGUACUUAGAUGGGAAACUCUAUUCCUGGCAAAGCAAAUGUAGCCU